rnacentral:rRNA from 1 species
GAUGAACGCUAGCGGCAGGCUUAACACAUGCAAGUCGAGGGGCAGCAUGAAUGUAGCAAUACAUUUGAUGGCGACCGGCGCACGGGUGCGUAACGCGUAUGCAACCUACCUAUAACAGGGGGAUAAUCCGAAGAAAUUUGGUCUAAUACCCCAUAAUAUCUGAGAAGGCAUCUUUUCAGGUUGAAAGCUCCGACGGUUAUAGAUGGGCAUGCGUUGUAUUAGGUAGUUGGUGAGGUAACGGCUCACCAAGCCGACGAUACAUAGGGGGACUGAGAGGUUAACCCCCCANACUGGUACUGAGACACGGACCAGACUCCUACGGGAGCAGCAGUGAGGAAUAUUGGUCAAUGGACGCAAGUCUGAACCAGCCAUGCCGCGUGCAGGAUGACGGCUCUAUGAGUUGUAAACUGCUUUUAUACGAGGGUAAACGCAGGUACGUGUACCUGUCUGAAAGUAUCGUAUGAAUAAGGAUCGGCU